rnacentral:misc_RNA from 1 species
GUGAAUCAUCGAAUUUUUGAACGCAUAUUGCACUCUCUGGUAUUCCGGAGAGUAUGCCUGUUUGAGGGUCAGUUAAAUAAAAAUCGGGGUUGUUGCCACCUUUGAUUGUGACGCGUCGGAAUGUGGGCGUCUUUACCUUUCGGUUAAGUGCCUUAAAAUUUUGUAAUGAUAUCUGGAGGGUUUUCAAUUUAUUUGGUA